ensembl:snRNA U6 U6 spliceosomal RNA
GUGCUCGCUUCAGCAGCACAUAUGCUAAAAUUGGAAUGACACAGAGAAGAUUAGCAUAGCCCCUGUGCAUGGAUGACAGGCAAAUUCAUGAAGCAUUCCGUAAUAUA